rnacentral:rRNA from 1 species
GAUGAACGCUAGCGGGAGGCCUAACACAUGCAAGCCGAGCGGUAUUUGUUCUUCGGAACAGAGAGAGCGGCGCACGGGUGCGGAACACGUGUGCAACCUGCCUUUAUCUGGGGGAUAGCCUUUCGAAAGGAAGAUUAAUACCCCAUAAUAUAUUGAGUGGCAUCAUUUGAUAUUGAAAACUCCGGUGGAUAGAGAUGGGCACGCGCAAGAUUAGAUAGUUGGUGAGGUAACGGCUCACCAAGUCAAUGAUCUUUAGGGGGCCUGAGAGGGUGAUCCACCAGACUUGUACUGAGACACGGACCAGACUCCUACGGGAGGCAGCAGUGAGGAAUAUUGGACAAUGGGGUAGCGCCUGAUACAGCCAUCCCGCGUGAAGGACGACGGCCCUAUGGGUUGUAAACUUCUUUUGUAUAGGGAUAAACCUACUCUCGUGAGAGUAGCUGAAGGUACUAUACGAAUAAGCACCGGCUAACUCCGUG